rnacentral:rRNA from 1 species
UAGGGAAUCUUGCGCAAUGGGCGAAAGCCUGACGCAGCAAUGCCGCGUGCGGGACGAAGGCCCUAGGGUCGUAAACCGCUUUCAGUAGGGACGAAAAUGACGGUACCUGCAGAAGAAGCUCCGGCCAACUACGUGCCAGCAGCCGCGGUGAUACGUAGGGAGCAAGCGUUGUCCGGAAUUACUGGGCGUAAAGGGCUCGUAGGUGGUUGAGUAAGUCAGAUGUGAAAUCUCAGGGCCCAACCCUGAGCCU